GUACACUCCUACGGGAGGCAGCAGUGGGGAAUUUUGGACAAUGGGGGCAACCCUGAUCCAGCAAUGCCGCGUGAGUGAAGAAGGCCUUCGGGUUGUAAAGCUCUUUUGUCAGGGAAGAAACGGUGGUGGCGAAUAACUACUACUAAUGACGGUACCUGAAGAAUAAGCACCGGCUAACUACGUGCCAGCAGCCGCGGUAAUACGUAGGGUGCAAGCGUUAAUCGGAAUUACUGGGCGUAAAGCGUGCGCAGGCGGUUGUGUAAGUCAGAUGUGAAAUCCCCGGGCUCAACCUGGGAAUUGCAUUUGAGACUGCACGGCUAGAGUGUGGCAGAGGGGGGUAGAAUUCCACGUGUAGCAGUGAAAUGCGUAGAUAUGUGGAGGAAUACCGAUGGCGAAGGCAGCCCCCUGGGAUAACACUGACGCUCAUGCACGAAAGCGUGGGGAGCAAACAGGAUUAGAUACCCGGGUAGUCCCAUG
rnacentral:rRNA from 1 species